GGGAGACACGUUUGUAGGGGGGGGCACGCUCGACAACGAGAGUUGGUUUUUAUUGAACGCUCGACAACGAGAGUUGGUUUUUAUUGAACGAGACUUCAACACGGAACAGCUGCACGAAACGAUGGUCACGUCACUCUCGGUGACGGUGUCGACAAAUGUUAAGCUUGCUGGUAGUUCUACCAUGAGGACUCAAAAUCACGCGCGGCUGGCCGUCAAUCACAAUCACCAGCUACCAAUCACCUGCCUACACCUGCUCUAUAAAGAGUAGUCUAACAUGUUUUUGCUGCUCAGGUCUUCGUUCGACGCAUGCUGCUGCUUUACUGUGCUUCUGAUUAUCUCGCAUAUCUUGUCGCUUAGUUGCUACGUCGGUUAAUACACACCAAGAGGUCAUAACUUUGGAUUCGUGCUGGUCGGCCUACUACUUCUGGUCCGGGCAAGUGAGCGCAGAAAGCCGUUCAUUUCGGUCCCCGGUAUUCUCAACAACACCACCAAGAAGUUCCCAACACGGACAUCCGCCUGGUUCUACAAACCCUCGCCGAGUUGGUGCAAAGCAUUUGGCGCCAGGAUGGACGCCGUCGAAACACCAUGCGGAACUCCCGGACGGGUCCAGGAUGGACGCCGUCGAAACACCAUGCGGAACUCCCGGACGGGGAGUCUGAGGUUUUUCCCUUCACUUUAACAUGAAUGAAGUUGAUGGGUUUUAGGCACUGUGGUAACUGAAUAUCACUAAGGUUUUUAUUGACGAAGGGACUUUUAGAUUGGUUCAGCUGCUGCUCACUAACUCUCACGUUCCUCUGCUCGCGAUGCGAUUCACAUAUCGAUCAAUUUAUUCAAAAGAUCCAAAGACAAAGAACAGGUACAUUAUGGUAUAAUUUUAUAUUAUUAUUAUUUAUAGUCUUAUUGUUAAAAGCUUCAGUCGCGUUGGUAUUUAAUUUUUCAUUUGCUCGUUUAGCUAUGUAUGACAGUUAACAAUGUUGGUGUAUUACAAUUAUUUACGCGUGUAGGCCACUCCAACUCUCGAUAUUUCAAAUAGAUUAGUGUGCUCUCUCAGAGCUGGGAGAUUUCAUCCUUAUUUUAACAUAUUACUCGAGACGGUGUUUCUCACUGCGUUCUCUGGUUCAUGCGUUCUCGGGUUCAUGCGUUCAUGCGUCCAUGCAUACAUGUCUCCUACUCAGACUUUUCCCCUACACGGGGUAUUUAAUUUUUCAUUUGCUUGUUUAGCUAUGUAUGACAGUUAACAAUUUUGGUGUAUUACAAUUAUUUAUGUGUGUUGGCCACUCCAACUCACACUCGAUAUUUUGAAUAGAUUAGUGUGCUCUCUGGGAGAUUUCAUCCUUAUUUUAACAUAUUACUCGAGACGGUGUUUCUCACAGCGUUCUACGGGUUCAUGCGUUCUACGGGUUCAUGCGUUCUACGGGUUCAUGCGUUCUACGGGUUCAUGCGUUCUACGGGUUCAUGCGUUCUACGGGUUUACGGGUUUACGCGUUCUACGGGUUUACGCGUUCUCUUGGUUUACG
ensembl:lncRNA